AUGGCAAGAAAGUCGUCCAAGUUAAGCCCCUACUCAAAUAUGUUACUAAAUUUCGUUUUAUAUAGUAUUUUUUAUGAAUUCGCCUUCGCCUUUCCGUCAUAUCCCGAAUCCAGACAGUCAGAAAGUUUGGAGAAACCCACCUCAACACCAAACAAUCAACAGGUUCUAAGUCUGCAUUUAGGAGUUAUCGCGUCUGUUGUGAUCGUUAUUGUUGCUGCAGUAGCAGCUGCUGUAUUCAUCAUACGGAGUUACUGCUGUCUGCAGAGUAAUGUAACAUAUAGAUAUUCAGAGCUGCGACAAAUGGAAGCGGAAAAUGCAGCCAGAGAAGAGGACGAUGGUUCAGAUGAGGACCUUUUGGAGUGA
ensembl:lncRNA